rnacentral:lncRNA from 1 species
UUGGAACUUACCUUUCCGGCGAGACGAAGCUCGGCCUCCACCGCGAUUUCAGCCACGACGGACGACGGAGGAGGCGGCCAGGCGGCGGCCGUGCGCUCCCUAUGGCGGAGAGGGCAGAUGCCCUGUUCCAGACGAGGGGAUGGAGAGGAAGCUACCCGCGCCCUUGUCCGAGCAGGAGCCGAAGGAGGAAGACCAGAUGGACGGCGGCCGAGCUCCUUCACGGCGAGGCGGCGUGCGGCUGACUUCCGGUGAGACAGAGAGACGAGAGGGAGAGAAGAGGAGAGAGCCGAGAGGUAGAGAGGGAGAGUGAGGCGCUGAGCUUGAGUGUGUGUGUUAUGUGUUUUGUGUGUGUGGUAUAUGUUGUAUGUAUUAGGGUUAGGUUUAGGGUGGGCCGAAAAUUUUUUAAAAAAAGAGUGAGUGGGCCGAUUUUUAUUAAGUUGGGCUCAUGUUUUAAUUUGUUUGGGCCGAUUUUAUUUUACUUCUGCUGGGCUCUUUUUGUUUUAAAAUUGAUGGGUUUUUAUUUUAGUUGUGUAGGCUAAUUUUAUUUAAAUGCUUGGGCUAUUGUUUUAAAUAUAGGCCUACGAAUUUUGGCCUUAUUUCUUAAAAAAAAAAAAAAAAAAAUGUUUAAAUUUUCACUAAAUUACUUAGUGAAUUUAAAUCUCUUGAUUUAAAUUUUAAUAUUGGAAGUUGGGAUUAUUUAUUCUAAAUGAAGUCCAUUCUAUUAUUUAAAUUAUUAAUGGACUUUAAAGCAAAUAUUUUGGGAUUAAGCCCCAUUUAUUACAUGAUAAAAUUUUUUUCAAAGCUUACGAGUAUGGAUUUUUUUU